GCGGCGUGCCUAACACAUGCAAGUCGAACGCGAAAGGGGGCAACCCUGAGUAGAGUGGCGUCCGGGUGAGUAACACGUGGAUAAUCUACCUGUGAGUGGGGGAUAACUUCCCGAAAGGGAAGCUAAUACCGCAUAACACGCUUGGAGGGCAUCUUCUGGGCGCCAAAGCGGGGGAUCGCAAGACCUCGCGCUUAUAGAGGAGUCCGCGGCCGAUUAGCUAGUUGGUKAGGCAAUGGCCCACCAAGSCGACGAUCGGUAKCCGGCCUGAGUAGGGUGGUCGGCCACACUGGCACUGAAACACGGGCCAGACUCCUACGGGAGGCAGCAGUGGGGAAUUUUGGGCAAUGKCCGAAAGGCUGACCCAGCAMCSCCGCGUGAAGGAUGGAAUCCUUCGGGAUGUAAACUUCGUAAAUAAGGGAAGAAU
rnacentral:rRNA from 1 species